UAUCGCUUUGAGAUGAGUCUGCGUCUGAUUAGCUAGUUGGAGAGGUAAAAGCUCACCAAGGCGACGAUCAGUAGCCGGUCUGAGAGGAUGAACGGCCACACUGGGACUGAGACACGGCCCAGACUCCUACGGGAGGCAGCAGUGGGGAAUCUUCCGCAAUGGACGAAAGUCUGACGGAGCAACGCCGCGUGAGUGAAGAAGGUCUUCGGAUUGUAAAGCUCUGUCAACUAGGACGAAUGUGUGAUUUGUGAAUAAUGAGUCAUAAUGACGGUACUAGAGAAGGAAGCCACGGCUAACUACGUGCCAGCAGCCGCGGUAAUACGUAGGUGGCGAGCGUUGUCCGGAAUUAUUGGGCGUAAAGAGCGCGUAGGCGGGUAGAUAAGUCUGUUUUAAAAGUGCGGGGCUCAACCCCGUGAUGGAAUGGAAACUGUUUAUCUUGAGUACCGGAGAGGAAAGUGGAAUUCCCAGUGUAGCGGUGAAAUGCGUAGAUAUUGGGAGGAACACCAGUGGCGAAGGCGACUUUCUGGACGGUGUCUGACGCUGAGGCGCGAAAGCCAGGGAAGUGAACGGGAUUAGAUACCCCGGUAAUCCUGGCCGUAAACGAUGGGUACUAGGUGUAGAGGGUAUCGACCCCUUCUGUGCCGGAGUUAACGCAAUAAGUACCCCGCCUGGGGAGACGGCCG
rnacentral:rRNA from 1 species